rnacentral:rRNA from 1 species
CCUACGGGGGGCAGCAGUGGGGAAUAUUGGACAAUGGGGGCAACCCUGAUCCAGCCAUGCCGCGUGUGUGAAGAAGGCCCUCGGGUUGUAAAGCACUUUCAGUGAGGAAGAACGCCUGGUGGUUAAUACCCAUCAGGAAAGACAUCACUCUCAGAAGAAGCACCGGCUAACUCCGUGCCAGCAGCCGCGGUAAUACGGAGGGUGCGAGCGUUAAUCGGAAUUACUGGGCGUAAAGCGCGCGUAGGUGGCUUGAUAAGCCGGUUGUGAAAGCCCCGGGCUCAACCUGGGAACGGCAUCCGGAACUGUCAAGCUAGAGUGCAGGAGAGGAAGGUAGAAUUCCCGGUGUAGCGGUGAAAUGCGUAGAGAUCGGGAGGAAUACCAGUGGCGAAGGCGGCCUUCUGGACUGACACUGACACUGAGGUGCGAAAGCGUGGGUAGCAAACAGGAUUAGAUACCCGUGUAGUC